UCUCCGUUGGUGAACCAGCGGAGGGAUCAUUACCGAGUUUACAACUCCCAAACCCAAUGUGAACGUUACCACACUGUUGCCUCGGCGGGGUCACGCCCCGGGUGCGUCGCAGCCCCGGCACCAGGCGCCCGCCGGAGGAACCAACCAAACUCUUUCUGUAGUCCCCUAGCGGACGUUAUUUCUUACAGUUCUGAGCAAACAUUCAAAAUGAAUCAAAACUUUCAACAACGGAUCUCUUGGUUCUG
rnacentral:misc_RNA from 1 species